UACGUAGGGUGCAAGCGUUGUCCGGAAUUAUUGGGCGUAAAGCGCUUGUAGGCGGCUUGUUAAGUUCCGUGUGAAAUCCCCAGGCUUAACCUGGGAAGUGCGCGGAAAACUGGCGAGCUUGAGUGCCGGAGAGGGUCGCGGAAUUCCCGGUGUAGAGGUGAAAUUCGUAGAUAUCGGGAGGAACACCAGUGGCGAAGGCGGCGACCUGGACGGACACUGACGCUGAGACGCGAAAGCGUGGGGAGCAAACAGG
rnacentral:rRNA from 1 species